rnacentral:lncRNA from 1 species
AUCGCGGCCGGUACACGUGGCCUGUCGCGUUGGCUCCGCGUGGAACCGCGUCGCUUCCCCGAGGGCGCAGUUGCGAGAGGAGUGGUAGCGCAGGAGUAGUACGCGCUCACACACAUUCGGGCGGCUGACGUUGUAGGCAGCAUGGUUCUGUACGUGGUCCUGAUAUUCGUGCCCGUUGCCGCGAUCGGCUUUUUCACGUACAAGCUGAUCCAGAGCUUGCGGGACAAAGAGAAGAGGAAGGAGGACAAGAAGAAGCAGAAGCAGCAAAAGAAGAAGGCCAAGUGAGAGGACAAGGCUGCUGCCAGACUUUCACACACCCCCGUGCAUUGCAGGGCCCGACAUAUCAUCACUCACGGGGGGGCGAACGGCAAUCUUGGAAAACCAACCUCGCUACCGCUGCAGCGUUGACAAUGCUUCGAAGCGGCGGCGAGGUCCGUCUCGGAGUCGACUCGCGACAAUCCGGGCACCACCAAAGCCAUUCUUUGUUGUUUCCUCAUGUGCAUUCCAUUGGAUGAAGACUCCCUCAUUCUUA